AGAGUUUGAUCCUGGCUCAGAACGAACGCUGGCGSGCGUGGAUAAGACAUGCAAGUCGAACGCUAGUUUCAGGGUAGUAAUAUCUUGAGAUUGGAGUGGCGCAAGGGUGUGUAACACGUGGGUAAUUUGCCGUGAAGUUGGGAAUAACUCGCUGAAAGGCGAGCUAAUGCCAAAUGUGAUGAUUGGGAGGCAUCUCUUGACCAUCAAAGUUGGGGACCGCAAGGCCUGACGCUUCACGAUAAGCCCGCGGCCUAUCAGGUAGUUGGUGAGGUAACGGCCCACCAAGCCUAAGACGGGUAGCUGGUCUGAGAGGACGACCAGCCACACUGGAACUGAGACACGGUCCAGACACCUACGGGUGGCAGCAGUCGAGAAUUUUUCUCAAU
rnacentral:rRNA from 1 species